CUUUAAGAAAACUGGGGUCUUUAUUAUGGGUUAAAAAGUGUUUGGACACUGAAUGAUUGUCGUAACCUUUUUUAAUGUUGCGACAGUGUUCUGCCAAUCUAAUCUUUAAACAUCUUGUUGUCAUGCCAAUGUAUUGAAAACCACAUGGACAUUCUAAUAAAUAUAUCACAUUUUUGGUGUUACAUCCAAUGAAAUCUUUGAUAG